CUCAACAUAGACUUGACAAAUUUUCCAUCUCCUUCUACACCUCAGAUCGAAACCAAUCGGAAGAGAAAAACCCAAGCAAACUCAAAUGAUCCUUUUCUGAAUCAAACUCCAAUCAAAGAAAACCCAAUCUCAUUCUUAUGAUUUCUCUAUAUACUCAUCAAUUUCAGGGAAUUUGAAGAGAUAUAAUAACGAUGAAGGUGAUUGAAAUUCGUUGGUUAUCGUUUCUGACUUGUGUGCAACGGCAUAUGAUGCACGUUCCUCUUGUGGAUGAUGAAUUGCAUCACUGUGGUACCAUGGAGAUCUAUCUACCAACCGCGGUUUCUCAUUUUACCAUCAUCGUUGUAAGAGUAGGAUUCGUAAUCUUUUUACAUUGCAGUAAUACUUUUUCUUAGACAAUGUUUAAAUACUCCUUUGUCUCUUCUUUCUUGCUGUAGUAUCGUCUCAUCUUUCCUGUGGUAAAAUUGUUCGUCUCAUCUUUUGUGCGUUCGCGGCAAUUUUAGGCAUAAGUAUAUCAAAUGACUAUCUUACUGUAAAACACAACAUUUCAGUUCUUUUUUGUGCGUUUGGUGAGAUUUUAGGUUCAAGCAUAUCAAAUGACUAUCAAGAUUUGUCUAACUUGAUAAAGUAUGCUAAAAGAACGCGCAGAGAUUUUAGGUUCGAGCAGAGAUGGUAUGGAUUCAGAUGACCCGAACGCGCCUUGCAAACUUGGUUCUCAUUUCAUCACACUUGAAAAGAUCAAUGGUGAGGAGGAGAAUCUCUAUAAAGAAAUCAAGGUAGUCGUAUUCACCUUUUCUGCUCAAAACUCCCACUUGUAUAGUAUGAUUUUAUUAUUAUCAGUUUAUAUGUGAUGACUGACUACUACACUUGUGUCCCCUAGCUAUGUAAACUUGUCUAUCCUACAUUGUUGUUGAGCAAAUGCAGUUGAAUCCUUUCUAGACUCACAAACUUCUUGAACUGAUCUCAUCUGAAACAAGGUUCACUAGGGUGUUGGCUGUUAUUCUGGGUGACUGUGUAAUCUAUAACAGAUCUGUUGAGAGUAGUAAGGAUACUUUAUGGUAGUUGAUGUCAUCAGCCAGAAGAUUGGUCUUUACUGCAUACUUCCUGAGAUUCGAGGAGAUACAGAACAAGGAACUGGUGAUUCCGUUAGGAGCAUGAAAUUUUGUUGCGCACGAACUAAAGUAAAGAACACUUCCUAAGAAACGGAAAUAUCGGGUUACGGAUGUAUGGUCAUGGAGUGGCAGUAGCAAUUCUGGCUAUCUACUUUACAUUCCUUCCUAUAUCAAUACCACCAUCCCUUGCUUUGGUUUCACAAUUGUUAAUCUUUUUGUUUAAGUUGUUGGCAGUUGUUCUUUUUGUUUUAGUUAUUGUUUGUCAAUUUUGUUUUGUUUGUUUAGUUAAAUUCUUUUGUCAGUGCUGACAGAUUUGCAACAUUCUAGUUAAAUUUCAGGAGUGUGACAAAUUCGGAUUCGUGUCUCAGAAACUGAUUAGUGACUCGAAAUCUUCCGAUUUUGUGGACUUACUUUUAUUUUCUCAA